rnacentral:rRNA from 1 species
AUUGAACGCUGGCGGCAGGCCUAACACAUGCAAGUCGAGCGAGCGGCGGACGGGUGAGUAAUGUAUGGGGACUGCCCGAUAGAGGGGGAUAACUACUGGAAACGGUGUCUAAUACCGCAUACUGUCGGAUGACCCAUAUGGGAUUAGCUAUUAGGUAAGGUAAUGGCGUACCUAGGCGACGAUCACUAGCUGGUCUGAGAGUAUGAUCAGACACACUGGGACUGAGACACGGCCCAGACUCCGACGGAGGCAGCAGUGGGGCAUAUGGCACAAUGGGCGCAAGCCUGAUGCAGCCAUGCCGCGUGUAUGAAGAAGGCCCUAGGGUUGUAAAGUACUUUCAGUCGGGAGGCGUUACCGACAGAAGAAGCACCGGCUAACUCCGUGCCAGCAGCCGCGGUAAUUC